rnacentral:rRNA from 1 species
UACGUAGGGGGCAAGCGUUGUCCGGAAUCAUUGGGCGUAAAGCGCGCGUAGGCGGCCCGGUAAGUCCGGUGUGAAAGUCAAAGGCUCAACCUUUGAAUGUCAGCGGAUACUGCCGGGCUAGAGUCCGGAAGAGGCGAGUGGAACUCCUGGUGUAGCGGUGGAAUGCGCAGAUAUCAGGAAGAACACCAACGGCGAAGGCAGCUCGCUGGGACGGAACUGACGCUAAGGCGCGAAAGCGUGGGGAGCGAACAGG